rnacentral:rRNA from 1 species
GAUGAACGCUAGCGAUAGGCUUAACACAUGCAAGUCGAGGGGUAACGUGUUGGAAGCUUGCUUCCGAUGACGACGACCGGCGGAUGGGUGCGUAACGCGUAUGCAACUUGCCUCACAGUGGAGAAUAACCCGGAGAAAUCCGGACUAAUACUCCAUACACUCUUAAGUACGCCUGUACAUGAGAGGAAAGAUUUAUCGCUGUGAGAUAGGCAUGCGUCCUAUUAGGUAGUUGGUGAGGUAACGGCUCACCAAGCCGACGAUAGGUAGGGGUGCUGAGAGGCAGAUCCCCCACAUUGGGACUGAGACACGGCCCAAACUCCUACGGGAGGCAGCAGUGAGGAAUAUGGGUCAAUGGAGGAAACUCUGAACCAGCCAAGUCGCGUGAAGGAAGAAUGUCCUAAGGAUUGUAAACUUCUUUAGCGAGCGAGUAAGGACUUCCACGUGAUGGGAGUUUGAAAGUAGCUCGAGAAUAAGUAGCGGCUAACUCCGUG